CUCACCCACUCACCCAGUCGCCUCUUCACGCUCAUUCCCCUCGCUCACCCACUCCACCAAAUCCCUAGCCCGCGGCGGCGACGCAUCUCCCCCUCACUCGCGUCGGUGAAUCAACCGCGUCGCCGCCCUUCUCCUCAGGCGUCGCCGCCAGGCCUUCUCGUCCGCGUCACCUCUCCCUCUCGCCCGCAUCCUCAGCGCCACAGUUGAGCCAAAGUUGGAUAUUUUAGCGAGGUCGAGUUGGAGCGUGAGAAGCGCGGGCACGACGGCCUUGUCCUGCUUGAGGAAGGCGGCGACGGAUGCUAGCGCUCCUCGCCGCCAUCGACCUGCAAGGAGGAGCGCCGUGUUGGACGCUGCCAUCUCCGACGCUGCUGGUACUCCUCCGCCGCUACGAGUGCCCCGUCACCUGCGCCCAGGUCAGCCGCGAAGUCGAGCUCCCCAUGCUUGACCUGCAAGAUGUACUGUGGUCAAGAACUGCUCUCUGCCGCGGGAGUAGAUUGGAAAGGCUGCUGCUGCUGCCACUACCACUCGCCGAUUCGGGCAUGAGCACAUUCUUGGAGUGGAUCUGCAUUUCAGAAAGUUAACAAGUGGGAGUACAUGAAGCACUACAUUUUAAGUCAAGGAGAAGAUGGUGCCUGCUCCGUGAUGAUGCCACCAGCACCUACGACUUCCUCGACCACCACCACCAUGAUGACGACUUCCUCGAACGUGGUCAUAGAUCUGGGCUUGGAGAUGCUCGAUUUUCUCGUGAAGCUUGAAGAUGGUCUCCCCGAUGUUCCUGGCAUCUAGCUUGGUGUUGUUGGUGAACUCAGUGAUCAUUAUGUGGUUGGCGUCGAGUCCACGUUCCACUGUCUCCUGGCACUUGAAAACUUGUUGCUCCACUGCUUUGAGUCUUGUCUCCACGCUUCCGGUCCUCCUUGGUCCCUCAACAUCGCGGAUGUGCAGCAACCCCUCACGCAUCUCAAUGGUUUGAGGAUGUUGCAGCACUUCCGCGAGGUAGGGGUUGAUGACCUUCUCGAAGAACUUGUCCUUGGAGGUGCUUGGAGACAUCAUAUUGAUCUAGAUAUGUCAGAAAAAUAGCUCGAAACAAAAACAGAGGAUAUUUGCGUGGUACGAUAGUCAAAACCUUCGGGAGAUUAUAUAAUGAAUUUUUA